rnacentral:lncRNA from 1 species
GUCAUUUUAUCAAAUGUGUGUUAACGUGUUUGCAGUGCAGUCUUCGUCGAAAAUUUGCUCUGGUCCCUUGGUACAUGUAUACUUCAUUUUAUUGGACUGCUUUGGAUAAGGAAGAUGCUUUAUAGUCUGGAUAAAUAUAUGGGGAAUUACAGACCUUCAGGGAUAACAUUCUUUAUUGAAUGGAUGAAAAGAAAAGAUGUAGAAAUGAUUGAAUUCCCAGCACACCUCAUUAUCCGAAUCCUCCUGAUGCCCAGGGAGGGCUUACGGUCUUAAAGAAACGAUUCAAACAUGAUUUGUAUUAAAGCCAACAAUCUCCCGCACUGGAACAUCAAAUUACUGAGAACUUAAACAGAAAAUGCAUGUGUGGAGUU